rnacentral:rRNA from 1 species
GAGAACGCCGGCGGCGUGGAUUAGGCAUGCAAGUCGAACGGUAUCAUCCUUUCGGGGGUGAGAGAGUGGCGAACUGGUGAGUAACACGUAGGUUAUCUACCCUCAAGACGGGGACAACCCAGGGAAACUUGGGCUAAUACCGGAUGUGAGCAACUUUUAGUUGUUUGAAAGGUGGCGUAAGCUGUCGCUUGGGGAUGAGCCUGCGUCCUAUUAGUUAGUUGGUGAGGUAACGGCUCACCUAGGCAAUGAUAGGUAGGCGGCCUUAACGGGUGGUCGCCCACACUGGGAUUGAGAUACGGCCCAGACUCCUACGGGAGGCAGCAGUCGAGAAUAGUCUACAAUGGUCGGAAGACUGAUAGUGCGACGCCGCGUGAACGAUGAAUCCCUUCGGGGUGUAAAGUUCUUUUAUAUGUGAGCAGUGCUUCUUAUAUUAACAGUAUGGGGAGAGAGAUAUUAGCAUAUGAAUAAGCAACGGCUAACUCCGUG